rnacentral:rRNA from 1 species
GCCGGUGCGCGUUGAAGGCCAAGACGUGAGUCAGGCUGGAGCCGCCGGUAGUGCAGAUCUGGGUGGUAGUAGCAAGUACUCUGGUGAACCAACCUGGAGCUGUGAGGUCUGGAUCAGGGUUCCAUGUCAACAGUGAUUGAACAUGGGUGAGUCGAUCCUAAGCCAACUGUGAAAGCAGUGACAUCCCGACAAAGGGGCAUUACGUGCGCUGCACUUACACCCCCACGGCAAAGCUCUGAGAUAUAUCUCUCUCUCUCUCUCUCUGACGAUAAAGGUGUCUGGUACGGAAUAUGCGCACGCACGGUGAUCACUACAAAUACGUGUGUGAGUGUGUGCGCUUGUAUGGUUACGCUCAUAAGCGUUGUUGCUCUCUGGUAAAAGGAUAAAGCAUAAGAGAGAGAGACACACAGAGUGUGGGUGAGCGUGAGUUUGCUCUCGCAUGAGCCCCCUGCGUCUGGUUCUAUGUCUGGCGAAAGGGAAUGGGGACUUUGUUCCUUGACCGGUCCCGGCACCCUCGAUUGGCUUUGCCAAUUAAUGGUCCAUGCAAAUGGAACCAGGCCACAGCCGCUGGCAGUCGCCCGAGGAAGAGUUUUCUUUUCUGCUUAACGCACGAGGUCAUCCCUGGAAACAGUUCGGCUGGCGAAAGGGUGCCCCGUUGCGGCAGAGCGCCACGACUGUCGUGCGCGUCUCGGUGUUCCUGCCGGUCCGUGAAGACGUGGUCGAGGGGAUUGCUCUUGUAUCAACGAAACGCCCGACAAGUUCGGGACGGACCGUACCCUAUAUCCGCAUCUGGUCUCCAAGGUUCGUAGCCUCUGCAGAGUCAGACACAUGUAGGUAAGGGAAGUCGGCAAACUCGAUCCGUAACUUCGGGAAAAGGAUUGGCUCUGAGGGCCGAGCUGGGCCGGGCCUUGCCUGCAAAGCAGUACCUAUAGUGACCGGAGUUUCAGGAGUGCGAGGGGCUCUAGUAGCUGCUCGCGCGUGUGUGCGUUCGCGCGUGCGCGCGUGUGGGCACGAACGAGUCCACCGCUCCGCUCCAACCACGAACGGCUGUGACGGCAAGGGCUCUGGGCGGGAGCGAUCAAACUGUUGGCCUCCAGCUCGUCUGGUUGGCGGCGGUGCUCCGUCUGACCCAUACGGCUCCAGCGGCUAGCGGCUAACUCAGAACUGUCAUGGACCAAGGGAAUCCGACUGUCUAAUUAAAACAAAGCGUCGUGACGGCCCC